rnacentral:rRNA from 1 species
GGCUCAACCUGGGAACUGCAUUCGAAACUGGCAGGCUAGAGUCUUGUAGAGGGGGGUAGAAUUCCAGGUGUAGCGGUGAAAUGCGUAGAGAUCUGGAGGAAUACCGGUGGCGAAGGCGGCCCCCUGGACAAAGACUGACGCUCAGGUGCGAAAGCGUGGGGAGCAAACAGGAUUAGAUACCCUGGUAGUCCACGCCGUAAACGAUGUCGACUUGGAGGUUGUGCCCUUGAGGCGUGGCUUCCGGAGCUAACGCGUUAAGUCGACCGCCUGGGGAGUACGGCCGCAAGGUUAAAACUCAAAUGAAUUGACGGGGGCCCGCACAAGCGGUGGAGCAUGUGGUUUAAUUCGAUGCAACGCGAAGAACCUUACCUA